rnacentral:tRNA from 1 species
CGAGGUAUAGCUCAGUUCGGUUAGAGCGUACGCCUGAUAAGCGUAAGGUCAUAAGUUCAAAUCUUAUUGCCUCGACCA